GCCGAAUUCGUCUAGUGGCCCAGGACGCUAGGUUCUCAGCCUAGAAACACGGGUUCGACUCCCGUAUUCGGUA
rnacentral:tRNA from 1 species